rnacentral:lncRNA from 1 species
GGGUCUCGCUGUUGUUGGGGACCAUGGUGUUAGCGUUCUGGAGGAUGAUGUCCACUGUGGAGUUAAACUUCAGCCGAUACACGGCGUCGCUGUAGGUGGCGUUGGGGUUCGCCGCCGGCUUGAAGAUGUCGUAGUUGGCGCGGUCGUAGGUCUCUGGCGGCGCCGACUGGCUGAAGGUGUGGUGCAGCUUGUGCUUGAGGGCGAUCAGGUAAGGGGUGUGGGGGAGGGUGAAGGACAUGUUGUUGAGAGCCCACCGGGUGUGGCCGUCGAUCCUGUUCUGAGUGUUCAGGAGGGUGAUCAGACGGUCGGUGGUGGCUGGUGGCGGGAUGACGUACCCCCGGCGAGCCCUGAUCUUUAGGCUCUGGUUGAGACGGUACUCAGUGUCAUUCCAGAGUGGCCCGGUAGGCGGCGCCGUCGGGGGACGGCGGCGGGGGUGAUUGGGGUAGUAGUUGAAGAUGGAAAGGCCGGUUGGAGUAUCGGGCUUCCUGCUGACGACGUUCAAGGCCGCCCAGUAGUUGCGGGAAGGGUCCUGGUCGGCGACCACCAGGACGGAAUAGGUCUCGCCGGAGUAGAUGUUGAGGUUCUUCACGACGAAGGGCUCGACGUAGUGGCCGUCAGUUUCUACGACGGUCAUGUUGUGACCCUGCAAAAUAAUACCCAAGGUCAGCGCUAAUUUUCCUGCGACCUAAGUGGCUGUCUUCCUCGUCUUCUGGGACGGUUUGUCUCUCUCCUCACCUCUAUCUCAAAGUUGAAGGCCGAGAGUGAAGCGAGGCUGGAGAUCCUCAGGCGGUAAGUCUUCCCUGGCACCACCGUGAGCACAAAGGGAGAGCACUGCGGGUUGGUAGAGUUGCAGACGUCAUUGCCGGCGCCUGAGCAGUUGAACCGUCCCCUCCCAUUGAUCAGAAGCGACUGCAAGACAAUUUCUAGGAGUUGAACUGGCCAUCCGUCUCAAAAAACUGAUGAACAAUGGAAAUUUUUAGAGAGAUCAGGCACCUGAGGCUCCUUGACCCAGACGAAGGGGAUUGAGGAGAGGCCAGCGGCCUUCUCGUGGGUGGUCUUGUGCCACCAGUCGUUGAGGACGAUGUUCCGGUCGUAAUCGUAUGCGAAGGGCUCCGAGACGCCAUCGGGGAGGGAGACGUGGAUGGAUCCGUAGAGGCCGGCAGACUUCUGCAUCCCGUAGUGCGCGUGGUAGAUGUAGGUCCCAGGCUGCCGCCAUUUUCAACGAAGGAAUCACAGUGAGACGAGAGGUUGAAGAUGACUGAUCACUGCUGGUAUGGAUUUGGGCACAUAUUUGCAGCUUAUGAGCAUUUAAUAGUCUUGGAUAUUAGCAGGGGUGGUCGUCUCCAUAGGGGUUUUGGUCUCUGUGUGGAGAAGGGUUUAAUCACUGAUGAGCUCACUGAUUAACAGUGCUAGCUGAAAGAAUUACAAUGAGUUAAAAACUUGAUUCUUGAUAGUCAAUGGUUAAUUUUUCGUAGUUUAGAGAGUGUUCUGGACAAUGCUGAAGGGUUUGCUUUUGAAAAAUCUAUGGCUUUUUGUCUGGUGUGUUUUGGAUACAAUGCUGAAGGGGUUGUUUUUGAUUCUUGAUGGUCACUGGAUUAGAAACUUGCUGAUUCUUACUGGUCGACGACCUACUUGCAAUUGGAGUAUCGUGAAACCUGAGGCUGAGCACCAUCGAUCACCAUGGAAACUAAAGAGCAUAUUUUACCAAGUUUUAAGCCUUUUGUAACCAGUGAGCUCAUUGAUCAACAGCGUUUGCUGAAAGCAUCACAAUGAGUUCCAUUGUUGAUUCUUGAUGGUCAACCAUCAACUGUUAGAGUGAUUGUGAGGACGAUCAGUUCGCAUAGUAGCAAUGAGGUAUCUAGUUUUAAAAGCGAUAUACAUUCUGACUAUAUUGAAUAUUAUGGUCAACUCAUGGAGGAAAUCACGAAGAAGUUAAUGUUUGAGGAUGAUCCAUCCAUCACCGUGGUUAUCGAAAGGGUCCAUUCUUACAAAUUCAAUAUACCGCUAAAUAUUUUUUAAAUUAUGAAAAUUCAUGGCCCACAUGGGUAUAUGAUCAACUGAUCGCCGCUCAUGUUCUGCAGUUUUAUCUUGAAAGAGGUGAUGGUCACGUGGAAACACUACCAUUGAAAUUUUCAAGACGAGGAAAGAGAUAAAUUGGGAUUCGGACUGAGGAAAAUCGGGGCCAAUGCCGACGGGCCCAGUGGCUAGUGGAGGUGGGCGGGGCCUUGCGGGAACGACAAGGCCACCGCCGAGUCCGGGCCCCGCGGCCGAGGAGUUAGUUGAUUAAAGUGCUCAAGCAAUAUUUCGGUGGAGAGCGGAGAAGAAGUCAACGAUGAAAGUACGACCGUGAACAGGAGAUUGGCGGCGAGAAGCGUGAGGGAGGGGCAGCCUCUUACCCUAUCGACGACGAACUUGUAGACGAAGGUCUCGCCAGGGAGGAUGGGGCACUGCGUUACGCCCUCCGUGCCGUCGCUCCACGGUGUCCCGAUCUGGAAGAGUUGACGGCGAGGUUGCCGGAGAAGGAGACUGUCAGAAGACUGCAAGCUCGCCGGAGAUGGGGGAGAAAGGGGGAGGGAGGAUCUCGCUGUUUAACCUGGCGGAUGCCGUGCCAGUGGAUGGCUGUGUUCUCUGUGAGGAGGCCGUUCUUGACUUCGACGAUGACCGUGUCUCCCUGCUGAGCCUUGAUGGUCGGGCCGGGAGUCCUCCCAUUGAUGGCGAUCACCAGUUUCUCCACGCAGUCGGGGGACUGCAGCUCGUAGGUUACCUCCCACUGGUAGCGCCGCACCUUCGCCGAUGCCAGCGGAAUGGACAUGCAGAGGAGGAAACCCAUUAUAAAUGGUGCAAGCCAGCCGCUCAGAACAGGCGCUCUGCACCGCGUCAUCUUUCUCGCUUCCCUAUUCUCUCUCUCUCUCUCUCUCUCUCUCUCUAUCUCUAUCUAUCUUCCUGCAGUGGGGGAGGGUGGGAAGAGGUGAUGGUGGCCGAACGUUUUUCCCAUCAACAAAACAUAUAUACCCCAUCUUCCCGCUUCCGUGACGUGAACGUUCUUUAGAGUCCAAUGACUUGGUCAACCCUCCCACGUGACUUGAAGACUAAGGCAGACCGUUCUGAAUGGUUCCGAGGCUGUUUAUGUUGACCACGCCAGCAGAGACCAUGGAAUAAUUCUUAGACCAUAAAAAAUAACAGAAUCUUCAUUAUCUUUUUGUUUCAAAGACGCUUAAUUAUACCAAAGGUCAGCCUAAAUUACGUUGUAUAAUCAAAAGAUGAUUUUCUUGAAAUUCAGUAUAAGAAAUAUGAUGGAAGUUUUUCAAAAAAUUGAUGUUACUGACCGAUGUUAGGAUCACCUGCUUUAAAUUCUGGGCUGUGGGCAUUCUCUCAUGAAUUAGUUGUGCGAUUUAUCAUGAUAUGCUAUGCGUUUUAUAAUAUUAAGAGCAAGAUAUUUAAAUAUCAUGAUUCUAGAAAUUGGUAGAUUAUUUAUAUAACUAAUACGUUCAUGGAAAAAAAUAUAAAAUGGUUUUAAGGCCACCCAUUGUGUCGAGUUUACAACAGUCAUCGGCAAUAGAAAGAGGACCAAGGCGGAUUCGUCAAUAACUAUGAGUGGUAAGUUUUCAACCAAAUAGCAAGGUUAGAUUUCAUAAAUGGUCUCAAUUCUUAGUACCUGCAAAAUUUAUGGUACAGAAAACCAAAAGUUUACAAAAUAACAAUAUAUCAUAAAGGGUUUAAACGCUUGAAAAACUCAUGCGCAGUGUUUAAUUCUCAAAGGACAUGGAUAUAGAUCGAAGUUCAGUCACAUUGAAAGAGAACAAAUGACACUCUCUACAAUAUAUCCUCAUGCAGAAGAGGCCAUAAAUAUUGGGAUCAAGUCACCCGUUCUUUGCUCCGUAGAAGACUAUAUUACCUGCCACGGAAGGAGAAGAGAGGGGAGGAGAGAGAGAGAGAGGACGCGUAAGCGUUGACACGACCAGUCAAGAUACGAAGGGUCCUGGGGCCACGCGCAACAUUAACGCGCCCGCCAGACGAGACCCUGAAGAGACGUUCUCCAGCUAACCGCCUGCCUGAAGACACGGAGCCCGCCAGAGGUCCAGACAAGGGGAAAAUGGCAUGAUUGGAGCCGGGCAUCUGAUGUACCUCCCCUGUAUCAAACACGAUUUCUCCAAGAACAAAGAAAUCCAAUGAAAGAUUGAAAGAUGAAAAAGGCUUACAGAUGUUUUCCCUCGUCUGACAGAGCAGAUCUAUUAUGAUAUUGACAUGAGAGGGACAAGUUCCUCAGAUUGAAAGAAACCCCACGGAAGCACAGAUAGGUCCCACCCACAGGCCCGGCCCAUCAGCCGGGGCCCUUCACUUCGUGCGGGGGCCUAGGAAGACGCACCCCCCCGACUGGUCGAAGUCUGCCUGAGCGUCUUCUCCCUUCAAAGCCUUCUUCUUUCCACUUCUUUUCCUGUGCGGUGGACCUCGCAAAGCUAAUGAUACGGAACGAAGUGAAGAUAAACACGAUCUAUUAAAUUUCCACAUAACAGCGAAUUCAAGGAGAUUUAUCAUGGCCUCCUAUUAACCCUUGAGAGAUAAGGUGGAUAUCGCAGUUUGAGAAAACUGAUAAGUUAGGAUAUUUGAAGAACGAGAUGAGGAAAUUUCAGGUUCAAGUGUUCAGGAUAAUCAAACAAUAAUAAGGACAGCAACUAUCUGACAGAGAAGGGUAAAGAAAGAGAUUACUGGUGGAGGACUUACGCUCCUUCCGUCGAUGAUGAUUAUGAAUUUGAAGUGUAGGAUCUUGCUCCGCAGAACAAUCACUGAGAUAGAGUGGGUGAUGAGGAAGAGGAGUAAUGAACAGAAUUUUGACCCUCACAGUCAGCUCUUUUCAAAGCACAGGUAGGCCUCGCGGCUUCUCCAAAUGGAUUGAGAAAAGAAUUCAACUUCUACCAUUCAAACCGUAUUACAAGCAUAUUUUAUAGGUCUAGAAAUCAGGAAGAUAGACAGAUAACUAACUAAUAGCAACUAACUAAUAAUAAACAAAGUCGUGGUGAUGAUGCAUGGGUCAUGUGUGAUGUGGCCGUAACCCACUCCUUUCCUCCAGUUGUUCGAUACGUGGGGGAGAGUGUGGGUUCUCUUUCAUUCCGUCAUGCUGGUGAGGUGUUGAGUUUGGUUCUUCCUUGGCCCCCGAGGUCUUCUGAUUGAUGUCCUCGUCAGCUAAUAGUUUGUCAGCAUCAUCCAUCGGUCGUGUCUUCGCCGUAUCCAUCCCACAUCUGACAAAUACCUAUAUUGAGGAUUUCUCCUGCUUCUUUUCUUCCGAUCACAUUUCUUCAGGUUAUAAAUAGACCCUAAACCGUCUCUAAGGAUAUGCAUGUUAGUAAGUUUGCACUUGAUCAUCUUUCAUCUUGGUGCCCCCGUUGGGUUGGUUGCAAAGACCCCACACUCCUAGUUGGAGCUAGUCAUGAGGGCCACUUGGCACACACUCCCACUCUCUCGUUAUUGUAUGUCUUUCAACCCCCCCUUCUCUCACCAUCCUCCACUGAAGAUGCCACUUGCUCUCAAAUCCAAGUGCUUCAUACACUUAGAGAUACGUUGACCUCGGAAUGUGAUCACAAGGUUUAUCGAUGACGAUGACCUUCUUUCUAGCAAGUAUUCCGUGCACUCCAUCCAUUGAAUAUACAUUCCCGUUACAAUGGCUGGAGAACCAUAGGGUAGCUGUCUGACUAUUUUCUAUCAUUGCUAAGAAAAUUCAACAAAUUUAAAAUUUAUAAAUUAUGGAAAAUAAGACAAUUCUUAAUAAAGAAAUAUUUUUAGUUGAUUUUUUUGGUCGAUCAUAGGGGAGAUGAAGUAUUAUUAAUUAUUUAUCAUUUUUAUUUGGUAUAUUACUUUUUAAAUUAUUUUAUGGCCAAAUUAUAACGAAAUAAGUUUAAAUUGAGAAUUUGGAGAUUAUUGACAUUAGUUGAUGUUAGCUUGCAAAGAACAACCCCAAAUUUGUGGUCGACAGAAAUACGUCGACACGUAAAUGAAUCAAACCAAAGCCACAAUGAUGGAAAUAAUGGGCUUUUAUUUGAAACAUGAUGAAGGAUCGAAAGAUGUAUUAUUGGAAUCUAAAAAUAGUAAAAAUGAACAGAAAUUAAAGUUUACGGAAGAACUGAGCAGCAUAGUCGUUGAUCAGAUUUCUGCCCAAAUAUGAUCGAUUUGUGUAGGUAAAGUGUACUGAUUGGUUUUCUACACCUUCUCCAAUCGAUGGUUGACAAUCUCAACAAUUGUCACUUGCUAAAAUCGAACAAUGAAGAUGAUUCGACUCCAAGUGUGUUGUGGCGUUUGGAGAAGGAUCUUUGGAAGAAAUUCUUCACCGUUUGUAUCCGGCGAAGCAUGGGGAAGAUUUUUGAAAUAAAUUCAGCUUUUGUAGCAGCUGAAUGAGAGAGAAAUUUAGACAAAAUCCAUCUUUUGUAUCGGAUGGAUGGAUUGGGCAAAAUCUGGCGUUUGUAGUGGUGGGACCAGAGAGGUUUUGAUUUGAGAGGGGUGUAGAAUAAUUGAGGAUGCCUUCUUCCUCCCUAGAAAUACCUUUUCAAUCUUUCUUUGUGCAUAUUUCACUGAUUUGUUACAAUUAAUUGUCGUAUUUGUUGCCACGAUUCGUGCGUCCGCCGUUAACACAAAAACCCUGAAAAGAUUUGAUUUUUCGUUAGUUUUAAAUGAUUAUAAACUAUAAAAAAGACAUGAAAUUAAUUAUAACAUAAUUUCAAAUUUAUUUUUGUCAAUUUACUUGAUGAAUUUCUCUCUAGAGAAUCAAUUGAUCAUCCAACGUGAUUUUUGCUGAUUUUUUAGGAUUUUCACUGAUUUUCUGAAUUUAAUGAUUUUUCUCAAAUUUCCUUAAUAUUUCUAUAAAAUCAAAAUAAACGUAGAAAUAUUUUCAAAAAUAAUAUAAAACAUAAAAACAUGUGAGAAAUAUUUUCAUCAUAUUACAUGACUGANNNNNNNNNNNNNNNNNNNNNNNNNNNNNNNNNNNNNNNNNNNNNNNNNNNNNNNNNNNNNNNNNNNNNNNNNNNNNNNNNNNNNNNNNNNNNNNNNNNNNNNNNNNNNNNNNNNNNNNNNNNNNNNNNNNNNNNNNNNNNNNNNNNNNNNNNNNNNNNNNNNNNNNNNNNNNNNNNNNNNNNNNNNNNNNNNNNNNNNNNNNNNNNNNNNNNNNNNNNNNNNNNNNNNNNNNNNNNNNNNNNNNNNNNNNNNNNNNNNNNNNNNNNNNNNNNNNNNNNNNNNNNNNNNNNNNNNNNNNNNNNNNNNNNNNNNNNNNNNNNNNNNNNNNNNNNNNNNNNNNNNNNNNNNNNNNNNNNNNNNNNNNNNNNNNNNNNNNNNNNNNNNNNNNNNNNNNNNNNNNNNNNNNNNNNNNNNNNNNNNNNNNNNNNNNNNNNNNNNNNNNNNNNNNNNNNNNNNNNNNNNNNNNNNNNNNNNNNNNNNNNNNNNNNNNNNNNNNNNNNNNNNNNNNNNNNNNNNNNNNNNNNNNNNNNNNNNNNNNNNNNNNNNNNNNNNNNNNNNNNNNNNNNNNNNNNNNNNNNNNNNNNNNNNNNNNNNNNNNNNNNNNNNNNNNNNNGAGAGAGAGAGAGAGAGGAUAGCUUGAUGUGGAUAAUAUUGAAGUCAAACCUCAUUAAGUUGAAUUUUCUAAUUAAAUUGAGUAUAAUAUAGUUAUAAAUAGUUCGUGAUAUCAAAUGUAAAAUUAUAAUAUGGUUAUGGAGUGUAUUAUAUAAAGGUUUACCCUAGGAUUUCAAUAAAACAAAAUAACACAAUUCAUACAAUGACACUCCAUCCACAAGAGAGAGGUUUUGAUUGUGAGGAUUGAAUAGAGAAAAAGAGGAUAAAGAUCAAUAGUCAUUUAUUAUUUUUCAUUUUAAUAAUGAAUCCAAAUAAGCCUAAAUUCCAUCAAGUGGUAUCAGAGCAAGUUUUUUCCAUUUCUAUUCUGAUUAUUAUGUGAGAAUUUCGUCACAUAUGAGGUGCAUGGGGACCACAGUUGCAUGGGAACCACACCAUCUAUUAGUUGUAAUGACAAUGGAAGUGGCAAUACUAGUGAAUGUGCUAUGUCCACACAGAGUUUAACCAUAGCAUUGUCCCUCCAGGGUGAUGACCCAAUACACUAUGGCUGGGAAGAGCACAAUGGUGGCUGCAUAGUGUGAGUGUGUAGACGGCUGUUGAGGCAUAGUGGUUUUAUACUAUGUAAUUUGUGCACACAAACGACCACUAUAGUUGUUGGUUGCCAAGCUCUACGGCCAUGCAAUAGCUAUAGCACAUUGUCGAGGUGUCCGCGGCCACUCAUUUGUUGGAUUGAUGAUUAUGAUCAAUCAAUUGAUCAAUCACAUUCAGGGAAAAAGGUCAUGAUUAUGGUGACGAUUUGGGCCAUCGAUUGCUUGUUAAUCACUAGGCAUAUUAAAGAUCUAUAGUUGACCUAUAUGUUUGAUGAUUACUUUCCAUCAUCCAAUAGUUAGGAUUCAACAUCGAUGAGAGAGAUUAAAUCUCUCUCUCUCUCUCUCUCUCUCUCUCUCCUCCUAGUCCCACUCCUACUAGCUCUUACCUCUCUCCUCUUGUCAAGGAUUGACUUUACUAUCAUCAACUUUGUUGACAGAGGAGAGAGAAACUCUAAAAAUGAAUUAAAGAAAUGAGAAAGACAUACAUAAAUGUCUUAUAGGAGAAUAGAGAGAGAGGAGAGAGAAUGAAUAAUGGGCCCUUAAUGGGCCGAGUGAGCUAUCAAACACUCCCUCUUAAGUUGGAGUAGAGGUCGAACAUAUCCAGCUUAGUAUAUGUAGAGUCAUAGAAGAUGCAAACCAAACUCUUUGUGAAGACGUCUACAAGUUGAUGAGAUGAUGCCAUAUGAAGAGUAGAAAUAAGUCAUGACAAAAACCUACCUCAAAUGUAAUGACAAUUAAUUUCAAUAUGCUUUGUCUGUUCAUGAAAAGUGGAUGAUUGACAAUGAAGAUGGUGGCUUGAUUGUCAUAGUAUAUGAGCAUCGGAGAAUGAGAAGUUAUGCCAAGAUCUUCGAGUAGUGAGUGGGGCCAUAUCAUCUCCCAUGUUGUCUCAGGCAUAGCUCGAUACUCAGACUUUGUACUGAAGUAAGACACCACCCAUUGUCUCUAAGUCUGCCAGGUGAUCAUAUUACCUCUAACAUUUGUGUAAUAACUUGUAGUAGAUUUCUAGUUGCCCUUGUCACUUGCAUACCCAGCAUUAAAAUAGGGGGCGAUGUGAAGAUGGCCAUGUCUUUCGUAAAGAAACCCUUUCUCUAGUGCUCUCUUGAUAUAGGUAAGGACUUGAAGUGUGCCUUUCUAAUGAACAUGUCGAGGCUCCUAUAUGAACUACCUUAUAACACUAACCGUGUACAUGAUGUCUAGGUGACGAAUGAUGAGGUAUAUCAGCUUGCCCAACAAUCGUCAAUACUAAUUAGAGUCCUCGAGGAAAGGACAUGAAGUGUCCUAGAACUGUAGAUGGGCUUUCAUAGGUGAGAUUUUCAGCUUACACUCGAGUAGGGCAGUCUCCUAAAGUAUGUCAAGAGUGUAUUUUUGUUGAGUGAGGGCGAGCUUCCCAUCUUGAUAGGCAAACUCAAUCCGAAUGAAAUACUAUAGAAUCUCUAGGUCAUGAAUGUUGAGGUGCUGCUACAAGUAAGCUUUGGUAAUAGAGAUGCCAACUUCAUCACUCCUAGUCACAAGAAUGUCGUUGACAUAAAUUGUAAGAAUAAUAAUGUCACCCUCUAUCUUUUUCUUGAGCAUGGUGGGAUGUGAAACCAAAGGUGGUCAAAAGUUUGAUAAACUUGGCAAACCAAGCGCAUGGGCUCUACUUGAGCCCAUAAAUAACAUGUUGUAAGAGACACAGCUUGGAUGACUCCAUUUGAACAACAUAUCUAGGGGGUUACUUCAUGAAGACUUGCUCGUCAAGAUCACCAUAAAGAAAGAUAUUAUAAAUAUAUAAUUGGUGGAGAGAUCAUGAUUGAUUGACAACAAGAGAGAGGAGCAUGUGGAUAGAGUUGAGGUAGACAAUGGGAGAAAAUGUCUCCAUGUAGUUGAUCUGAUACCAUGUUGACAGAGGAGAGAGAAAUCCUAAGAAAUGAAUUAAAGAAAUAAUAAAGACGUACAUAAAUGUUUUAUAGAAAAAUAAAGAGAGAGGAGAGAGGAGAAGGAAUAAUAUGCCCUUAAUGGGCCAAGUGAGCUAUUGAACAUGCUUUAUUGUCAUUGCCUCUCUCUCCUCCCACUCUUGGGGACCAACUUCACUACUACCUACUUUAUCGCCGCCACUAUGGUUUCGCCCCUCUCUCCUUAGUCAAUAUGGUUUCUUUGAAGUCUCACCUUCACCACUAUGGGCUCUCUCUCCUCCCACCUUUGAAGACUGACAUAGUCACCACCGACUUCACCUUCACCGCCAAGGCAACUAAAGGUACCUCUCCCCCCCUCCUCUCUCUCUUCUCAAUUGAUAGGGCUUUUCAAAAACCCCACCUUCACCACUACCAUCUCUCUCUCUUGCCACUCUUAGAGAUUGACUUUGUCAUUGGCGACUUCAUUGCGAGUGACAAAAAGAAAAAUAUGUAUUUUUUUGUUGUAUAUUAAGAAGCUUAAUUAGACUCAAUCAUAAACUAAUUUCAUUUAAUGUCAGUAUCUAUAGAUAUAUAUAUAUAUCUCUUAAUAAAGUUAAGAAUUACAACUAAUACAUACAUAUUAUAAUCUUAGGUGAAGCUUAAUUUAUACUUAUCUUAAUAAAGUUAUUACGUCUAAUACAGAUCUUUAUAAAUUUAGGAUUAUUUGUAUGUAAUAUAUAUAAUCCAAACAUAUAUAUAUAUAAUAAUAUACAAAUUUAUAUCUAAUAUUUAUCUAUAUAUUUAACAUAUGUAUCAUAUACAUAUUUAUAUACAAUAAUUAUUCCUAAUAUAUAAAUAUAUAUUAUGUAGAGAUAGUAUAAUAUAAUAAUAUUAUAUGACAAUCAUGAUUAUGAUCAAUCAGACUGUCAUGAUUGAUUAUCACAAUCUACAAUUUUUGGCUGAUUAGUUGGAAUGACUUCACUUUGAUGACAUUAUUAUCAUGAAUAAUAAAUUAAAUUAAAUUAAAUUAAAUUAAAUUAUUAUUAUAUUUUACAUGUGUUUUAUUUAUUUAUUUAUUUUAUGUGUUCAUUUAUUUUAAUAUUACAUUUUCAAUAUUCUAAUUUAUUGUCUAUAUCCAUGUGAUUGGUAGUUUUAAUUUUAGAUAGUAAUUAGAUAAAUGAUAUAAAUAUCUAAUGGACUAUCAAAGAAGAAUAUUAAUUUGUUUAGUCCAAUCAUAAAAAUAUAAUGGCUGCCAUGUAAUUAUAUAUUUAACUUGGACAACUUGGGUUUCCUCACUAACAUGACACAAAACAAGAAUGAUUACUUGUGUUAAUUACAUCAUGUAGAUUUUAAAUCUAAUCCGAAUGACAUUCAACCUUGCAUUUAGAUAAAUGAGAUUAACAUUAAUCUCCAAUGUGAGAUUAUUAUGCUUAUAUCUAAAUGGGUGAAAUUAUUGUAGUUAUAUACUAAAUAUGGAGUAUUUAAGUACUCAAUGAUACUAUACUUCAUAAACUUUUAUUUAUGUGUAAUUAGUCUUAUGUUCAUUUAACUAAUAGUACAUUAUUUCAUCUGCCUACAUAGAGUUAUAAUGGUACUAUUAUUAAAUAUAAAUGUUAUUUGAUGUGAGUUAUUUAUUUACAACUAAUAGAGUGACUAGGGUACUAAUGUUGUGAUGCAAACUUCUUAGAAUGAAAAGAAACUUUACUAUUUCAAUUGGUUUUGAUGGAUUUUGAUCCAUGUUUUUGAGUUCUACCCCUAUAGCACAAACGAAUGAAAGUAAUGCAGAUGUAAAGAUUUUCUAUAAGAGAUAAGAGAGAUUCAACAAAUUGGCUUUAUCAUUUACGUUACAACAUAUGAUAUAAAUAAUAGAAAUCUUUUGACUUCUAACACUUUAACAACUGCUUACAUAGAUAUGAUAAAAUAAUAAUUUGUUGGGUUUGACAAAGUCAAAGUAUGUGCCUUGAUUUAGAAGCCCACUUUCAUACACUAUACAUGGAAGAUAAAUAUAUGGGAAUAUAUCAUGGACAUGUGUGAUAUUGCAAGGAAAAUAAAUGAUAUGAAUAAUAUUAUUUCUAAGACCUUUUUGGUCUAUUACAUGUUACAUAUACUAUCAGCUGAAUAUGACCUUUUUAAGGUCUUCUACAACACAUAAGGAUGACCAAGUGUGUUUAUGAGGAAGAAAGGUAAGUUGUUAAUUCUCUAGACCAUUAAAUGUCAUAAAUAUGGUAACUCAUAGGCCAAGGAAGCAUGUAUUAAAGGGCAAGAUUCUUAAGAAAUCUUUAGAGAAGAAAUACGAAUUGAGUGUGACUUACAAGAAACCUCCGAUCAUCUGAAAAAGGAAUGCUUGAAGUGUGAGGAAUAGUUAAUCAAGUAGAAUUUAGGUAAUGAAGUUUUUAUCAUGAGCCAUGAAUCUAAUCUAGUUUCUAUUUCUAAUUCAAGUUGGUAGAUUAACUUAGGCUCCACUAUGCAUAAUUCAAACACUUAACAUGGGUUUCUAAUAAGAUUUCUUCAAACUAAGUGCAAACCGAAUGUCAUCUUGGGAAAUUAGAUGUAUUCGGAUGUAAAGUCAGUAGGAGACUAUAGAAUCACCUUAGAGUUUAGAGAAACUUUACAUUUGAAGAACUCUUUUUAUAUUCCAUCAUUUCAACAAAAUUUAAUAUCUAUGAUCAAAUUAGUUAAAAACAAUUAUGGUGUUAAUUUUGAUACAUCUGACAUGUCUUUAACUAGAUGAAAUAUUACUAUUGAGAUUGAUAUAAUUUACUAAUUAUUUAAACUUAAUAUAUUUUCUGAAAAUAUUUUGUUAUUUUGCUCGAAUAAAAUGAAUAGAACUAACAAUAACUCUAUAAUUUUGUGGCAUAGAAGGUUAUGACACCUAUCCUAAAAGAGGGUGGAGAGAUUAGUGAAAGAAAGUCUUUUGAGAUCUUUAGAUUUCAUAGAUCUUGAUAUUUAUGUUGAUUGUAUUAAGGCAAAAACAACUAAUAUAUUUAGGAAAAUGUCAUAAAAUAUAAGACAACAUUAUAUUUGAUUCAUAUAAAUGUAUGUAGACUUUUUUAUCCAUGUUUAACAUAUUAGAGGUAUUCGUAACUUUUAUCGAUAACUUCUUAAGGUUUAUAUAUCUUUACUUCUUAUGUGAUCAAUUUGAAGUCUUUGACAUGUUCACAAAUUUUAAGAAAAAUGUAGAUAAAUAAUUAAGAAAGUCUAUCUAGAUAGUCAGAUCAAAUAGAGGUGGAGAAUACUAUGGUAGAUACACUAAGAAAGGACAAAUGCUACAAUCAUUUGUGUUGUUUCUUAAGGAACAUAACAUAAUAUCUCAAUAUAUAAUGUCAAGCAAGCAUAACAUAAAUAGAGUUGUAGAAAAAUUAAGCAUAAUGUUUAAAGAAAUGAUGAGGGCUUUACUCAACUCUAUUAAUUUCAAUGUAUUGUGAAGUUUUAAAGAUAGUUAUAUAUAUCCUAAAUAGGGUUCUAACAAAGUUUAUACUGAAAAAUCCUUACGAGUUAUAGACUAAUAAUAAACUCUCUUUAGGUUAUAUGAAACAUAUGGGGUUGUUCAAUUGAAGUUAAACUUUACAAUGCACAUGAGAAAUUAACUCUCUUUUGGUUACAUGAACAUAUAGGGUUGUUCAAUUGAAGUUAAAUUUUACAAUGCACAUGAGAAAUCUCUAAGUUCAAGGAUAGGUAGUGGCUACUUUAUUAGCUAUCUAAAGAGGUUUAGAUGAUAUAGAUUAUAUUGUCAUACACAUAUCAUAAGAGUUGUUGAAAUUAAUAGAGCUAUCUUUUUAAAGGAUGUUUGUGUCAAUAGGAGUGUUCUUAGAGAUUUUAUUUUUGAGGAGUUUUAAGAAGAUAUUAUUAUACGUCAGUAGAUUUUUGGUAAGGGCAAUGAUGUUUAUCUUAUUCAUUAGACUCAAUUUUAUUUGCCAUUUGUUAUUUCAACUUUAGAAAAUAAUAAAAGGGCAAAUAUCUACUUAAAAACAACUACAUGAACAAUCAUCUAAGCUUAUUGUAGACCCAUCUAUUUUAGAUCUAUAUCAAAACCAAGAAGUGAAUGUAAGAAGAUCAAGUAGAUAAAGAAAAUCAAGUAUUUCAUUUGACUAUUUGAUCUCUCACUUGAAGAAAUAGGUCAAUGGAUAAAUGGUCCCAUUACAUUUUCAUGUGAUGAACCAUGUAAACUCUUAUCACUAGUUACAAGCUAUAAAGGAAGAGCUUGUAUUCAUAAAUUACAAUCAAGUAUAGGACAUCAUAGACUUAUUUUGGAAAAGAAGUAUAUUGGCUAUAAUAGGUCUAUAAGACUAAACUAAAUCUUGAUGGCACAAUGAUAUAAAGUCAGACUUGUAGCAUAAGAUUUCACAUAGAAGAAGGACAUUGACCACAAUGAGAGUUAUGCUUGAAUUUCUUUUAAAGAUUUAUUAACAAUAAUUAUGACCUUAAUAACUCAUUUCGAUUUAGAGUUACAUCAAAUGGAUGUGAAAAUAAUUUUCUUACAGUAUUAAUUAUAAGAAGUGUACAGGUAGCAGCCUCAAGGAUUUGAGGUUAAAGGUGAAGAACAUAUAGUUUGUAAGUUGAAUAAAUUUAUGUAUGGACUGUAACAAACUUCUAGAUAGUGGUAUAAUAAAUAUUCAUUUAUCACCAAAAAUUAAUUAACUAUCCAUUUGGUUUUUGAAUCAAUGAAUCAUAGUAAACAUGAAUUACUAUAUAUCAUCAUGUUAGAGCAAAAGUUGAGAUAUGUAUAAAUGACUCUAAAAUUUAGCUACAUUUGCAUCAUGUACUUAUGGAUUUAAUUACUUAUGUUUUAUAACUUUUUUCUAAGGUUUAUCACCUUAAGAAUUUAUUUCAAUUUAUUAGGAAUAUGAGUUCAAAAUUUUAUAAUUUUAUUCUAAAGAGAUUAAUUUCUAUAGAUUUGCCAAGGUGAUAAGGAUUAACAUGGAAUGACAAAGUUGAAAAACUUUACAUGUGAGAGAGGGUAGAUUGGGGCAUAUAAAAUUGAACACAAUGCCUACAAGAUGGGGCUUUACUAAGCCCACUAAAAGAUUAAGNNNNNNNNNNNNNNNNNNNNNNNNNNNNNNNNNNNNNNNNNNNNNNNNNNNNNNNNNNNNNNNNNNNNNNNNNNNNNNNNNNNNNNNNNNNNNNNNNNNNNNNNNNNNNNNNNNNNNNNNNNNNNNNNNNNNNNNNNNNNNNNNNNNNNNNNNNNNNNNNNNNNNNNNNNNNNNNNNNNNNNNNNNNNNNNNNNNNNNNNNNNNNNNNNNNNNNNNNNNNNNNNNNNNNNNNNNNNNNNNNNNNNNNNNNNNNNNNNNNNNNNNNNNNNNNNNNNNNNNNNNNNNNNNNNNNNNNNNNNNNNNNNNNNNNNNNNNNNNNNNNNNNNNNNNNNNNNNNNNNNNNNNNNNNNNNNNNNNNNNNNNNNNNNNNNNNNNNNNNNNNNNNNNNNNNNNNNNNNNNNNNNNNNNNNNNNNNNNNNNNNNNNNNNNNNNNNNNNNNNNNNNNNNNNNNNNNNNNNNNNNNNNNNNNNNNNNNNNNNNNNNNNNNNNNNNNNNNNNNNNNNNNNNNNNNNNNNNNNNNNNNNNNNNNNNNNNNNNNNNNNNNNNNNNNNNNUGGUUUCUAGUUAGUUAAUAUGAAUUUUUUUGAUUAAUUAUAGGAUUUUAUAAUCUUAUUUUGUUGAGAUAAAUGAAAAAAAAAGAUUAAAGGAAAAAAUAAAAACAUUGUUGGCCAACUAAGCCCGCUAACGGGUCGAAGGCCUAGUUGGGCAAGGCCGCAGAGCGACUUAGGACCAUAAGCUCAAGGCUCAAGUAGUUAAGGACCGGAUCGUGAGCUCAAGGCUCAAGCGGCUGAAGACGUGGAUUACGAGCUCGGCGACUCAAGCGGUUGACAUGUGCAUCACUCCCCUUCUAUGUCACUGGUGGUCAGCCAAGUGUGGGGCAAGGAGUGGUCAUACACAUGUGGAUGAGAUAUACCUAUUGAUGGGUAAAGAAGGCACCACCUUAUAUUCACAUGAAAAUUAGUCAAAAAAUCGAUGUAAGACUAAACCCACCACUCUAACCUUUCCCCGCAAGAUUUAUAAAUGCCCAAAAUAUCCCUCCAUGACCAUAAAGAAAAUAUCCUUAUGAUGUCACAUUAUUAGGGCAUUAUUAUACUUAUUUUAUCUCUCUCUCUUUCUCUCUCUCGCAGGUGGGCAACCGACGAAGAAAUUGUAAUUUCCGGUGAGUAAUUAAGUUGUAAAAAUUGUCAAAAUAUCAACAAAAACUUAGUCGACAUGAUUCACAAAGUAUUGUGACUAAAAUUGAUGAAUGAUUCUAGACAAAACAUUGCGAACUUAAUGAAAAAAUUAUCUCUAAUUGAUCGACAAACAAGUCAUCACUAAGUAGAAGAUGAUAUGUGGGGAGAUGAGUCACCACCUCCUCAGAGUGUACUAGAUACGAUAAAGGGCCUCCUCUUGCUGUGUUGACUUGAGGAUGAAGCCCCUAAGACAUGCCCCACCUUCAUCCAGCUUACCUCCAUCGGGUGACAGCCACCGGAGGGCUGCAAGUCACCGUUUUUCUGUUCUGCCAGGUGACAGCCACUAGAAACAAUUUGGUGACACAUUCUACUGAUUUCUAGACUUCGCAAGAAGAUCUAGAGAUUCUCCACAUCAUCUUUGUCCAAGGAGAUCCUUCGAGGCCGUGGAUAUUACAUGAAUUCCUUCUCGAACACGUAAAAUUCUAGCGAUCAUUGUCACGAAGUCGUAACUCUAUUUUUCUUGCCUUUAUUUCAUUUUCAUUUAAAUUAGUAAUAUUUGGUACGAUUUCAAGCUUCAAUAUCCUUCUUCAUUGAGUUACAAUUCGACAAUAAUCACUUACGAAAGAAUCGUAGGUCGGAACUUUGUUUUCGCUUGAUUCGUGUUCUUUAGGCAUUGAUGUCACUCUAACGUCAUAGCCUUAUUUCAUUUUCUCAUUUCUUAAAUAUAUUAUAUUUAUCAUUUAGUUAAAAACUCGUAAAAAUUUGUAUUCGUUUAGGAAAAUUAUGAAAUAUUACCCAAUAUUAUUACAUCUGUGUGAUCGACCUAGAAAUUUUUCACUAUUUUUGGAAUCUUUUAUCGGUUUAUAAAUAAUUUAUUUAUUCUAAUAUACAUUUAACAUUUCAAGAAUUUAUCUUUCUAGCUUUAUAAAUUUUAAAUUUAUGUGAUUUAUUAUACAACAAUUAAGUCAUGUCAUGGGCAUGUAACCUUUGAAAAGGGCAAAUAAGAUCGAGGCCUUUUUACAUGCACAUAGGAGGUGGCGGUUGGGUGACAAAUAACUAAGGCCUCAAGGUUUCAAGUAUGAUUUCUUCACCUUAUUCUCUCACUUUUUAGCUCUUUAGACUCUCUUUUAUUUUUUAGAAGAUGAGUAUCAGUUAAUAGCUACUUUUCAUUGAGUUUCUCGAGAGUUAUUUAUCUCUAUCUUGGGUUUCUCAUGUCUAGGUGGUGACAUCAAGGCAAAAGAAAUGAGAUAUAUAGUAACUCGUUCAUUUCUUUCAAGUUUAACAUUUUUCAUGAAUGUCUUACCUUCUUAGUAAUCCAUUGAAUGCUUUUUUCUCUUCCAAUGACCAUGUUUUCAUGAUUUGGUGAUAGAAUCAUCAAGUAUAGCGUCCAAAAUCAUUUUUUGGGUAAACAAGGGAGUUCUGUAUCAAACCAUGUAUUUUCUUUAAAGUUUAUGAUUUUUACUAAGCCUUGACUUCCUUAAAAAUCCAAUGAAUAUUUUUUUCCUUCCAUAGAUCAUAUUUUGAUGAUUUGGUGAUAGAAUCAUCAAGCACAUCUCUAGAAAUCAUAUUUUGAGUUUCUUUGUUCGACCUUUCUAUAGACUGAAUCUGAUUUUGUGAGUUACACAAAAAAGUUAUGUCACUAUCUUUUGGAAAAUCUUAGUUAAUUGGUUUUAUAUCUUCUAUAAUUUUUCUGUGAUUUUAUAAAGUUCUUAAAAUAGGUUUUUAUAUUUUAAAAGAAUCUCUCUACUUUUUCUUUCUUUUCAACCUUCCCAUGGAUCAAAUCUGAUUUCAUGAGUGAUAGAUGGAUUUAGGUUAAAAUAUUAUGGAAGAACUUAACAUAGUCAGUUUCUCAUCUUUUGAAAUUUUUUCAUACUUUUAGAAUAUGUUUAGUAUAGGUUUCUAAAUUUUAUCAUAACUCUUUUCUUUAUUUGUUUUGUUCUUGAUUUCUAAUUUUUAGCUGUUAAGAAUUUUGUUGAUCAGUAAAUGUCACCUUGAAUUACAAUAUACUUUUUAAGGGAACUAAGUUAUAGUUAGUUAUCUAUAAUUUUUGAUUUUUUCCUAUAUUUUAGAGUUAGAAACAUUAGGAGUUCAUAAUUUACAAAAACAAACUUAUAUCCAUUUCUUUUUUUUUAAAUUAUAUUUAAAGGAUACUCUCAACUUUUUUAUUUCCUUGAGGAUCGACCUAAAACCCUUACUUGAAGAAAGUUUAUUCUGGUUUUUAAUUUAUAAAUAUUAAAUUUGAGUGUCUAAAUUAACAACAAUUUUAGGCACAUCAUGGUACUUCAAAUUUAACGAAGUUAUCAUGUCCUUUGGGUUUUAGAAAAAUAUUAUUGAUCAAUAUAUAUAACUAAAAGAAAGUGAGAAUAGAUGUAUAUUACUUGUGUUAUAUAUAUAUAUAUAUAUAUGAUAUUUUACUUGUUAGGUUAAAUGUUAGUUUAUUGAAGAAGAUCAAAGAUUUUCUAUCUAACAAUUUUGAUAUGAAGGAAAUGGGUAAAGUCAAUUACAUUAUUUGCAUAUUCACCAAAAUAGGUCUUUGAGUAUGGUUGGGCUAUCUCAAAGGUUUUACAUAUCAAAUGUGUUGAAAAGGUUUUUAAUGAAAAAUUACUUUCUUAGUAAAACACAUAUUGUUAAAGGUGAUAAACUAAGGAAAUUGCAAUGACCUCUUUUAAAUGUGAAGAGCCUUGCAAUAAAAGAAAAAUCAUAUUUUGGUGUAUUUAGAUCUCUCAACAAUGUGCAAACACGUACCCAUCUUGACCUAUCAUUUGUCACUAGUCAUCUAGGAAGAUAUUAAAAUGACCUUGGCCUGAUAUAUUGGUAAGCUGCAAAAAAGGUUAUGAGAUAUAUUCAAUGAACUAAAAAUCAAAUGCUCACAUAUAGGCGAACAGAUCAACUAUAAGUUAUUGAUAAUAUAAUUUAAAUUUCAAUAGAUGUUUGGACACACAAAGAUCUAUUUCAUGUUAUAUGUUCUUACUUGUUGGAGGAGCUAUCUCAUGAUCUAGUACAAGAUAAAAAACAAUUACAAUAUCCACAAUGGAAGGUGAGUAAAUAACUUACUUCCACACAUCUUUUUUUCUAAAUAACUUAUUUCCACAUAUCUUCGCAAGUUAUAUAGAAGAAGUAUUUCAUUACACACUUGAGAGGUGUAGACUCUAUAUAGAAACCCAUGAGGCUAUAUUAUGUCAAUGAAGUCGCCAUCAAGUUCCCUAGUAACAGUAAGAACUUAAGUACUUAUAAGCAUAUAAAGAUUCAGUUAUUAGUUAUGAAAGAGAGAAUCAAAUAUCAAUUAGUGUCAAUUAAUUAUACUGGGACUAACUAUAUGCUAGUUAAUCCUCUUAUGAAGUCACUUCCACUAGUAUCAAUAGUGGACAUAUCUAUAACAUUGGGUUGGAUAGUUCUCUAGAAGAUAUGAUAUGUAUUUAGAUGCUAAUGUGAUUUAUGAUAUCACACAUUGUGUAUGUUAAUUCAUUGUGAACUAUCAAUUAUUGUUAGAUAAAUAGGAGAAUGACACUAUUUGUUUAGUCAUGACAUUGUGAGUUCAUUAAUAAAAGUUCUUUAACUACCACAUAAAGUAUUUGAUUUUAUAUUGAUCACAAAUAUCUUAGUACAUAGAAGGGACAUAUAUUCUUAACAUUAUAUUAUCACAAUGACUAAUACUUUUGAGGGAUAUUAUGAUCAAAAUGAGAGUACUAUUUAUAAGCAUUAAAGUUGUGCUUGCUCCACAUGAUUAUCUAAUAUAGACAAAAUAAGGUAAAGUCAAGUGGGAGAUUGUUGGAGUCAAACUCUAUUAAGGUGACUUUUUUAAUCAAAUUAGGUAUUAAUAUAAUUAGAAAUAGUUAGUGGCAUCAAAGGCAAAAUUGUAAAAUAGUUAUGAAGUAUAUCACAUAAAGUUUUGCCCUAAGAUUUUAACAUAACAGAACAAUACAACUCAUAUGGUGACACUCCAUCAAUAAGAGAGAGGUAAUGAUUGUGGUGAUUGAACAGGGGAAAAAAUGAGAAAGAUCCAUAGGUGUUUGUCGUAUUCCACCUUAAUGGUGAAUCUAGGUAAGCCUAUAGUCCAUUAAGCAAACAGAAGAUGGAAGGAGGUUUCCUACUUUGACUACAUUAUGCUACUCAUCUACUCUACUACCAAGGAGGUUUCUUAUUUUCUUGUGUAGAUACCUACUCAAUACCACAGGUCAAAUCAUCAUUUUGUUCCUACCAAAUUUAAUUUGUGGUAUCUUCUUCCUCUAUUUCCCAUUCUCAAUGUCAUUUAUUGUGAAUAUUAUUAUCCCAUUCUCAUUUUUCCACUAUUACUAGGCCAUCAUUUCAUACCACUCUUUUCUCAACAGAUUAGAAGAAUAUCCCCUUUCAUGAAUACAAAUUGACUAAUCAUGACCUUCUUUAGUGAAUGUUUUUGGCAAAUCAAUUAUUGUAACAUCACAUGUCAAUACUCAUACAUAUCAACCAAUGUAGUUUCCAAUUCAAUUUUAGUUGUAACCACUAACAAAUAGGUUACACAACUUCCAUGUAAUAUUUAUUUCAUCAUGCAUAAAACCUACAUUCAUAUAGUUUCAUAUCAUAGUUUUGGGGCAUCAAAUCUUUUCAUAUUGCAUACAUUUUCAUGAUUUAUUUGGAAAAUAUGAUAUCCAUUUAUUUUAUUAUUAACCAUAAAAAUUCCACAAAUAUUAUUUCAAAAAAUGGGGUAUGUAGUCAUUAAAACCAUGUCAUUAGGUUUGAUAUUUAUGAUUAUAUAUAUUGCAUUUAAAAGUAGAGUUACUACAUAUAAGAUAUAUAUCAACAACCAAGAUAUUCAAGUAGCAAUAGGAUGAGAGUUACAUGUUACAAAAUCAAUAAAACGGAGAUAUAAAUUAAUUUUCAAUAUUAAUACAUAAAAAAUCAAUAAAUGCCUUGUGUUCAUAUGCAAAGGUAAUAAAAUGUUCAAUAUUAAGGAGACAAACAUGAUAGAUGAGAUAUUUCAAACCAACAAGAUAUGCGUAAUAUUACCCCUCACAAUGUUAUUACAUUCAAAAUUUGGUUAACAUACUCACUUCAUUGCAACCCCUCACUCCAUGGUUGAGAAAAUGAGGAUUUCUCUCUAAAGCCAAAUGGAGAAGGCUUCCCCCUAUCUUUCUCUCUAUAUUCAUUUAUAUAAGUGUAUUCUUCUGAGGUCCUUGGGUAGAGAACAUUGUUUUAAAUGGAAAGGUUAUUGUACCUUCUCCUAAUCACCAAAAAAAAGAAUAUUUGAAACCCUAUUUGUAGCUAUUGAAGAGAAAGGCCUUCAAUCUCCAAUUUUUCUUUCCCCAAGGCAAUCUUUUUAUAUGUUACCUCUCAAAUAGGUGGACUAGCUUCAUGCCCAUAACCAGUCCUUAAAAUGAGAUUAAGAGAGAGAGGAGAAGUUUGAGUUGAACUAUGAUCAAAAGUUGACCAAGUCACCCUACAAGAUCUUGAAUAGUUUUGAAAUGCAAGACCUUGAAUUUAAGAUGUCUCAUUAUAGAGCUUACAUGUUCUGUUGGAUCACUAUAUGCAUAUUAUUUUGAUGAUGAGAAAUACUCAGAAGAUCGAUUAAAUAAUCAAAUUAUGCUUAAUUUUUAGUAAAAUUCAUGUGCGAUAAUAUAAGUUAUUAUUUAUGAAUAAUUUUAUGUAAAAUUUUAAUACAUAACAAUGUGAAUUCAUUGUGUAUUCAGACUGAUUAUAUUAAAUUAAUUUAUUUGAUUAGAGCCAUUAUUUUUAUAUUUAUGCGAAAAUCAUCAAUAUUUAUAAACUUUCACAAUGAGAAAAAUAAUAGUUAGGACAUUCAAAUCAACAAAAAUGGGUACAAAAGCUUAUGUAGUCUAUUACGUACCUGUAAUAUUAUAUUAUCAUUUUAAAUGUAUUUUACACCCAAUUAAUUACAUAAAUUAAAUUCAUUUAUUCUACAUGCUAGGAUGUUUUGAAUAUUAAUGAGUAUCUUAUAGAAAUAGUGAUAAAUAUUAUGAAUUAUCGAAGUUAUUAUUUUACAUAUUCAAAUCAAGUUCAAGGUGACUACUUGAUGAUCAUAUUUUAUUCAACAAAACUUGAAUAAAUUUUGAUUAUAAAAUCAUUACUUUAUCAAGAAAUUUAUUAUCAACUCUCAAUUCAUGAUAUCAGAUCACUAUUGGACUGGUUUGAACUAGUGUUUAACUUUAUGGUAACAUAUAUGAACUUCUCAUGGGGAUAUUUGAAAGCUUAAAGAACAGGUUUAUAAUACAUCACUUUAAUGAGAUAAGUGGCACAUAAGUAUCAUAUUUUAUGCAUUCAUUCAUGCCAAACGACACUGAUUUAAAGUAAAAUCAAGUUAAUUAUAUUUUAUAUUAAUUUCAUGAAAUACAUGCCUAAUGUACAAUUUUUUCAUACUCUUAUAGCAUGUUUAUACUUUGGAUACUCCUUUCUUAUAUGUCAAUAUGCUUUAAAAUAUAAGUUCAAAUGAGAAUUUAACAGUUGGAGUUCAUUAUUUUAGAUAAAAAAAUAUUUUUUUGUUUUUCAUAGUAUCUUUUAGUUAUAUCUUUAUUUCAAGGAGACAUUUGAACCCAUUAAGCCCAUUAUGGGGUGCAGUAAGUCAAUUUAAUUAAUUAGUUUAAAAUUACGCCAAGGGAGAAAAGGCUGGAAAAAUCAGCAAAACAAUGUUAAAUCUAAUCUCAGUAUAAAAAUUUAAAUUUAGGGCCAAAAAAUGAUCCAUUCUUCCUCAUGAGGGUGAUAGCCAAUGUUUUCUUCUGACUCGUUGUCAAUUUCCCAUGCCAUUUUGUGAUUUAAAUCUGAUCUAUCUUCAUUUCUGAAUUCAUUUUACUGUUUCAUUUAGAAGAUAAGUAGAUGAAUCAAGGAAGUAACUAAAUUAUAGGGAUUUUACUUAUGACUUUAUUUGAUUUUGUUUGUCCAUUGAAUCAUGCUGUCAAAGGGAAAAGUUCCUAAUUUUUUAUCUAUUUUUUGCCUAAUUCUUGAUGUUUUCCAAUUCGGAUUAGCUUCAUUUAUGAACUGAAUAAUGCAACAAAAACUGAUAGAUUCAUCCUAUAUUUUGAAUUCAUUUUUUCGCCUCAUUCUAUUUUGAUUUUUUUUCUUAAUGUUUUAUUUUUUCAAAUUGAUCCUAAACUCAUUUUCAAGCCUUUUUAUAAUUUCUAUUCCUAUUUUGGAUCAGAAUUUUUAUAAUUUCCCUUAGAUAUUGUUUGGUUCUCACUAACAAGAGAACCCAUUGUUUGAACCAUUUAUCUUUCUCCAAAAUUUCCUCCAUUGUUCUCUCUGUGGUCUACUCUUCUCCCUCUCCCUCUCCCUCUCCCUCUCCUCUAUAUUUUCCUCCGUUUUUUUCUUGUUAUGAUUUCUUCCUCCUUUCUCUCCCCUCUUUCUUCUUCUCUUGUUUUCUCUUCAUUUUUUUUGCUCCACUGUCCCUUCUCUCUCUUCUCCUGUUUUCUCUCUUUAUAAUUUCUUCCUCCUCUCUCUAUUGUCCUAUUUUCUUUGUUAACCAUCGCUUAGGCUAUUUAAUCCCUUUAAUUCUUUCAUGCAGAUCAAGGAUGAGAUGCUGAUCAAGGAAGAGUUAAUCUUCUUGUUUGCAGAUAAUCAAGCACAAAACAGCUCUUCUACUCUCCAUCUUCAUUAUUUCUUUAAUAUUUUACUUUGAUUUAGAUUUAUUUAGAGAGCACAAGACAUUCUCAUCAUGAUUUAUGAUAUUCCUUGUAGAAUUGACUUGAACUCAUUCCAAAUACUUGAUUUAGUUCAAUGUGAAUUCAGAGUUAUAAAUAUUAAAUUUGACUUCUCUUAAUACAAUGACUAAGAGAUGAUCACAUGUAUUUUUUUUUCUAGUUAUUCAAAUUUCUAACUAACUUUAACGCAAUUUGAUUUUAAUAUGACUUGUCGCUGUAAAGAAAAUCAUUAUGUCUUUUAUAUGAAUGGUCAGAAAAUUAUUUGUCCAUAAAAGAUAUUAAUUUCCCUAGCACUAUAAUGGAAAAGAAAAUAUAGGUGAUGGUAAUCGACAAGAAUGAGCUUUUUACUAAAUUGAAUAUAAUACUGAUAUAAUUUCCUUACAAACACAAGAAGAAGUGGAAAAAAAGCAGCUCAAGUACUAGCCUAAAGACUAAUAUGUCUAUAGACAAUUCAAGAACCAUAUAACCAAUAUUAGGAGGUAAAGUAUUGAUUGAUUGCGAGAGGCUCAAGGCUACAUUUGGCAAAAGUGGAUCAUGUAGUGUCCACCUUCUUCCACCAUUUUUUGACUGUUCUCUACCCUAUUUUACUAUUUCCCCAUUAUUUUAUUUCUAUUAUGUUGAUGUCCUUAGACAUAGAUUUUGAUAUUACAAAUAUAUGAGGAAAUAUAUAAUUCAUGAUUGAUAUUAUUCACAAGAUUAUGAUAAUUAAUUUAUAAAUUUCAUAAAAAUAAAUCUAUUAUUCAUCUUGUGACAUUAUGACUAACCUUGAGACUAAGCGAAAUGAUGAAAAGGUGAAGCACCACACAUGGAUAAAUAUUUGUUAGAAAAUAAAUAUUUAAUAGGUAAAUAAUGGUUAUGUUCCUAAUUCAUAUAUCCAUGAUUAUUUAACCAUUUAAGUGUAUCUAUUAUUUAUUAGUCACAUGCAUUAUUAAAAGAAAGAGAAAAAAGUUUAAAAUAUCAAAUGAGUUCUUGUAAGUCUCAAACCAAAAAUUUGGAUGAUGAAAUGUUAGUUACUUAUGUGAAGAAAAAUAUUAGCUUAACAUUUGAAUCUAAAGAUAGAGUCAACAAAAAAGUUAUUUUUCUGUGAGAGAAAAAUCUCUAGUUUGAAUUUCAAAUCGAAUGGACUAGAAACUAGAAAGAUAUUAAAUUUGCAAUGGUUAGAGGUCAUUGUCACGCGUUCUAGAAAAUGGUAAGUGUUUGAAUUAACCUUUUGACUUUAUUUCUCGAAUAAAUUAUGGAAAUCCAUUGAAAGACGAUGCCCUAUAAGUAAAAGAAGCAAGGGAGAUCAAAAAUAACGAUUUUAAUUUGAUAUACAAUGAUUUAUCUCUCACGAUCAAGAUUCAUCAUCGUCGAGCUUCAAUUACAAGUAGACUACAUCAUCCUUCUUCAUCAACGAUUGGUGAUCAAGAUAAAGCUUGAAUCUUUCAAGGAGGCUCUCCAUCAAACCCUAAGGUAACUGGGUGGUGAGUGGAGAGUGAGUUUGGGCAAAGGCAUGAGGUUUUCUAAGCCCUGUCUGACCUAGAGGUCGAACCUGAGGUAUUAAGGCUAUUGAUCCAGUUAAAAUCAGUGUGUAUUUUUAAGGAAAAUAAUGAAAUACUAAUAAGAAGGAUCCUCUGGGAUUAGAAGUAGUUAGGUGAGGGGUGAACUAGUAUAAAAAGCUCUUAUCUCAUAGUGAGAUCCUGUAGGAAGAGAGAGAAAGUCAUUAUAUGCAUAGAUAAUCACAUAGAGCUAUGUUAACACAUCUAACAUCUAAGUAGAAAAUUUGAGAUUUCUAAAAUACUAAGUCACCUCCCCUCGUGGUAUUUUGUCUAGCCUCUAGAUCUUUCAUAUUAUUCUAUCAUUUUUUUAUUUUUUCCAAAUAAUUAUUCUUCUUAUCUAAUACCUUUGAAUGUGUGUCAUUGAUCUAAAGUUGUCCAAAUACAAUUUCACACUAUUUCUUGCAACUUAUCGAAGGAGUAUCAUAUCAAAUACCUAAUUCAUUCAUGCUAGUCGAGAAGUGAAUAUUAUACCAUAAAAUUUAAAUUUUUUAUUUGAGGCAAAAAAAAUUUUGAAUGAAUUUUCUAUCACAUAAGAUUUACCCAAUCAUCUUUCUCCAUUGAGGGAUGUACAACAUUCUAUUGACUUAAUUCAAUCACUAAGUUUACCAAAUUUAUCUCAUUAUAGGAUGAUUUCAAAGGAAAAUCAAAAUUUAUAAUAAAAAGUUAAAGAAUUAUAGCAAAAGAGACUAAUUAGUGAAAGCAUAUGCCCCUACUUUGUUAAUGAAUUAUUAGUUCUGAAAAGGAUGGAAGUUAGCAUAUAUGUAUUGAUAGCAAAGCCAUUAAUUUGGUGUCCAAUACACAAUUUCAAUUCCAAGGUUGGAUAAUAUGCUUAAUAUGCAUAGCGACUUGAAAUUGUUUUUUAGGGUAGACCUUAAAAAUGGAUAUCAUCAUAUUCAAGUUUGUUUAGGUGAUGAAUGGAAAAUAACUUUUAAAGCUAAAACAUUUCUCUAUUAAUGGUUGGUAAUGCCAUUUAGCUUAUCUAAUAUACCAUGUAUGUUCAAGAAGAUGGCAAAUCAUGUAUUAAGACUAUUUAUUAGAAAAAAAAUUUCUUCAUAGUUUGAUGAUAUUUUGAUAUUAACACAACUGAAGAAAAUCAUAUUCAUCAUUUAAGAUCUAUGUUGUGUUUUACAACAAAAAGCUUCAAUCAAAAUAUAAAGAAGUGUAAAUUUAUGACUUCAAUUUUAGUUUUUCUAGUCUAUAUCAUCAAUAUAGAAGGAAUAAAAAUUGAUAAAUAAAAAAUUUAAACUAUUUAAUAUUAGAAAAAAUUUUAAAGAAUAUACUUACCUCUUGUAGUUUGGCCUCAUUUUAUAGAGGAUUCAUUGAAAUUUCAGUUCUACUGUUGCUCUAAUUACUAAAUGUAUGAAAAAUAUAAAUUUUCUAUGGACUAAGACAACAGGUCAAAGUUUUAUCCUUAUUAAGAAUAAAGUUAUACUUUGCUCUUAUGUUAGCUCUUCUAAAUUUUACCAAAUUAUUUGAAGUAGAAUGGGAUGCUUCAAUUCUGGGAACAAGAUAUAUGUUAUCCCAAUAAAGUCAUUAAGUUACUUUUUAUAGGGAAAAAUUGGUUGAAGCAAGAAGGAAAUAGAAAACUUAUGAAUUAGAGUUUUAUGAUGUGAUUAGAGUAUUAUAGACUUGAGAGCAUUAUCUUAUUCAAUGAUAGUUCAUGAUAUAUAUUGAUCGUGAAGUAUUAAAGACUGUUAAUAGCUAAAUGGGUGUAAACAUAAUGCAUGUAAGGUGGGUGUUAUUUAAACAAAAAUUUACUUUUUUAUCAAGGAUAAAUGAGGCAAAAUAAAUUGAGUUGAUCAUACACUAAGUACAAAAUCAACACUUCUAGUAACCAUGCGUGCUGAAGUCACUGGUUUUAAAUAUCUAAAGGAUUUAUAUGCUGAAAAGGAAGAUUUUGCUCACAUAUAGAAUGAUUGUAGACAUAAUAAAUCAAAAAAGUGAUGUCACAUUGAAGAAAAUUUAUUUUUCAUAAUAAAGGCACGAAAUUUUUGUACAAAUUAUAUAAAAUGGUAUUAUUGGCCUCAAUUGAAGAAAUAAGUUGAAAUUUUUGUAUAGAGAUCUCGAAAUUUUUAUGUUAAUGAUAGACACUGUUAGAAAACAACUUUAUAUACUUCACUAUUAAUUUUCGUAAACCCAUUUGCUGAUAUUUCUAUCAAUUCCAUCUUAGGAUUACCAUACACUCAAAAGAGAUCGAUUUUCAAUUAAGGUUCAUUUAAUCAUAUGCAGGAAAAUAAAUGAUGUUGUUCAGAUUGAAGAUUUAUUUUUCAAAUAGAAAGUUUUUACUUCAGGUCCUAGAGUUUACUUCAAAUUGAGAUUUAAAUUUUCUCUCAUUUUUUAUGUACUAUUUGAAAUAAAUUUAAUUCAUACUUAAAACUCAACACUGAUUGUCAUUCAUGAAUUGAUAGUCAAAUAGAAGUAGUAAACAAGACACCUGAAAACUUGAUGUGUUGUGUUUUAGGAGAAAAAACAAAAUAGUGAAAUUUGGUCCUACUCAAGUUGAACUUUCUUAUAGCUCUAUGGUAAAUCACUGUACAUAUCAAUCUCCAUUGUUUUAUCAUUUACUAUAUUCCUCCAACAUUCCCUCUUGAUUUGGCAUAUUUAUCAAAAUUACCUAUAGCAAGCACUACAGCAAACAACAUGGUUGAAAAUAUUACAGCAUUACAUAAAAAUUUCAAGAAACAUAUUUGAAAAAAUUAUGUGGAUUAUAAGAAGAAAGUUGAUUAAAAGAGAAGAAAAUAUUUUUAAAUUGGGGGAUCUAAUUAUGGCAUAGUUGAGGAAAGAAAGAUGGACAUUAAGAAAUUACAACAAGCUCACUCUGAAAAACAUGGACCACUCAAAGUCCUUCAAAAAGUAAGUGAUAAUCCUCAUAUUCUUGACCUAUCAAAAAUGAUGGGUAUUUCUUCUACCUUCAAUAUUAUGGGUUUGUAUGACUAUUAUCCAGAAGUAAUUGAAAACUCGAGGAUAAACCUUUAAACUCAUAUUUUAAUUCACAUGAUUUUCUCAUAUUAUUAUAUUAAAUAUUAACACCUUCCACAAAAAUAUAUAUUAUAAUAAUAUUUUUCAAUUUUUUAUAUGAUUAAAUUAAUUAAUUAAUUAUAUUAAAUAUUAUUAUUCACAUAAAUGUUUAAUGAAAUUACAUCUGAACAUUUUAAAAUAUUACAUUGAAUCAAAUAUGAUUACUUUCACAUUUAAGCUCAUAUCAUAUUCUAAAAUAGAUAUAAUUAGAUCCUUUAAUUGAUCUUAUACUUAUUUGUGACAAUAAAACAAUUAUCCAUUCAAUGUUCUUAAAAAAACUAUAUAUCACUUUAAGAUAUUAAUUUCAUAUAUUUAUUUAUCUCUCAAUGAAGAAUUUUAUUUUGUGGUAAAUUAGUGGAAUGAUACAAUUUACCCUUUCCCCUUUUUGUGAAGAUUAUCCAAAACUCAGUGGGGAGCAUAAUUUAAUGUGCUAUUAUUCAUGUGAUAAUGUAAAUAAUUACAUACUUUAAAGAGCUAGCUUCAUAUUUAGUAAUGGGAAUUUCUAAAUGCCAAGAAAGAUAAGCCUUGUGAAAUCUAGCUUGAGACAAGUGUAUUGGAUAAGGACUAGGUUCAAAAAAUAAUUUGAAGACUAGGCGUAUGACUGAACCAUCUCAAAUAUAGCCAUGUAUUAACUUAGUCAAAGCACACAAAAGAGAAAAAUAAGCUUAUUUACAUCUUGAAAAAAAUUGAUGGUCCCAUCCCCCUCCUCCUCCUCUGAUGUAGCCCAAGACACAAGUUGAAGUUCUAACUUCGAAGUUGGGCCCAAUCAUCUUAAAUUUUGGCCAUGAAGUGAAAAGUAGUAAAAAGGGAACCCACAUAUGUCACUAGUGGGCUAGAGGUCUGAAAAGUAAUACUUACUUUCUACUUUAUGUCCUUUCACUUCUAAAAGGCACUUUAUGUCUCCUUCCUUCUAGAAGGGACUUUAAUGUGGUUCAGUCUAUACCCAAGAUAUGCUCAAGAUAUCAAACUGUUAGAGUCUGUACCUAAGAUUUGCUCAGUAUAUCUACUUGUCAGAGCUUGCUUUAUGUCACUUCAGAGUAUUUCCAAAGGAUCUGUUUAAGAUUUCAAUCUAUCAUAGUCUGCUUUAAGUCAUUUCAGUGUUAGUCAGAGUCUGUCCUCAGGAUUUGUCACCCCACCUCCUUUUUAGGCCUAUAUAAAGGCCCCUAUUGUAACCUGAGGGACUUACCUUUUGAGUUGAAUCAAUUUUCUCCCCUGUGAGAACCUUUCCUUUGCUUGUGGAUUCAGGCACCCCUUUAUGGACUCAAGGGUUGGAGACUCCGAAUCUGUGGAUUCAGAGGUUGGUUUCUUCUCCAAGAUUAAAGCUUUGUGGAUUCAAGCCCAAAUCUUGUUUAUCUUCUGCGUCACUGCUGCGUCAUCCUCCUCCUCCUCCUACUUCUUCUUCUGCUUCUUCAAUGAUGCCGAAGGUGGUGAGAAUCGCCACAGCCCAUGAUGGCAGCGGGCAGCCGGCCGACCCUCUUCACACCCUCCUCGAAAACAAUUCCCAUGCCCAUGAAGAAGUGUGACUCGAUGUGGCAGUGGAAGGCCCACACGCCGGGGUUGUCAGCCACGAAUCUGAUCACCGUCCAGCCAUAGGGGUGCACGGCCACAGUGUUCUUCAUGAUGGGGUCCACUAGGUUGUACCUCAGGGGGUCAUUGACCGGAUCGAAGACCCCCCGCCCAUAGCCGAGGACCCAGAAGUCAUGGCCAUGGAGGUGCCAAGGAUGGGUCUCGCUGUUGUUGGGGACCAUGGUGUUAGCGUUCUGGAGGAUAAUGUCCACUGUGGAGUUGAACUUCAGCCGAUACACGGCGUCGCUGUAGGUGGCGUUGGGGUUCGCGGCCUGCUUGAAGAUGUCGUAGUUGGCGCGGUCGUAGGUCUCUGGCGGCACCGACUGGCUGAAAGUGUGGUGCAGCUUGUGCUUGAGGGCGAUCAGGUAAGGGGUGUGGGGGAGGGUGAAGGAGAUGUUGUUA